AUGGAGUAUAAACAAUGCAAUGGAGAUCAAACUGUUUUCUAUAAACAUUCCAAGCAACAGAUUACUAUUCUUGCAGUAUAUGUGGAUGACAUCAUAAUAACGGGAGACAAUGAAGAGGAGAUUGGAAGACUAAAGAAAUGCCUAGGCAAAGCAUUUGAAGUUAAGGAUCUUGGUCAGCUAAAAUAUUUCCUGGGUAUCGAAGUUGCAAGAUCAAAGAGGGGAAUAGCCCUGUCUCAGCGGAAGUAUACCUUAGAGCUCCUAAGUGAUAUGGGAAUGCUUGGAUGUAGAGCAGCCCCAACUCCCAUUGAACAAAAUCACAAAUUGACAGCACAGAUGGGUGAACAAGUUAACAAAGCAAAAUAUCAACAAUUGGUUGGCAAACUUCUGUACUUGUGUCACACUAGACCAGAUAUUACAUAUGCAGUAAGUGUAGUAAGUAGAUAUAUGCAUGACCCCAGAAGUGGACACCUUGAUGCAGUCUAUAGAAUCAUGAGGUAUCUAAAGGGCAGCCCUGGUAUGGGACUCUGGUUCAAGAGUAAUGGCCAUUUGAAUGUUGACGGUUAUAGCGAUGCUGAUUGGGCUAGCUGUCUUGAUGAUAGACGAUCAACCUCUGGCUAUUGUGUGUUUGUUGGUGGAAAUUUGGUAUCAUGGAGAAGCAAAAAACAACCGGUGGUGUCAAAAUCAACUGCAGAAGCUGAGUAUAGGGCAAUGUCUCAAGGGCUGAGUGAGAUGUUAUGGGUAAGAGGCCUUCUGCUUGAGCUGAAAGUGCUCAGACAAGAUCCUCUGAAUGUGUGGUGUGACAACAAAUCUGCAAUCAGCAUUGCUAAAAAUCCAGUGCAACAUGACAGAACAAAACAUGUGGAGAUAGACAGAUUCUUUAUCAAAGAGAAACUGGAUGCAGGAAUCAUCAAGAUAACUCAUGUGAGCUCUGGACAACAAGUCGCCGAUUGUUUGACAAAAGGUUUGGGAACCAGGGAGAACAAUCUUGCUUGUGACAAGAUGGGCAUGAUAGAUAUCUAUCAUCCCUCUUGA
rnacentral:rRNA from 1 species